CCUACGGGAGGCAGCAGUGAGGAAUAUUGGACAAUGGCCGAGAGGCUGAACCAGCCAAGUCGCGUGAGUGAAGACGGCCCUACGGGUUGUAAACCUCUUUUGUGGGGGAGCAAAGCGAACGACGUGUGGUUCAUUGAGAUGACCCUAAGAACAAGCAUCGGCCAACUCCGUGCCAGCAGCCGCGGUCAUACGGAGUAUGCGAUCGUUAUCCGGAUUUAUGGGGUUUAAAGGGUGCGUGGGCGGUCUGUUAUGUCAGCGGUAAAAGCCCGGGGCUCAACCCCGGCGAGCCGUUGAAACUGGCUGUCUUGAGAUGUCGAGAGGUAUGCAGAAUGCGCGGUGUAGCGGUGAAAUGCUUAGAGAUUGGGCAGAACACCGAUUGCGAAGGCAGCAUACCGGCGGCGAUCUGACGCUGAGGCACGAAAGCGUGGGUAUCGAACAGGAUUAGAUACCCUUGUAGUC
rnacentral:rRNA from 1 species